CCUACGGGGGGCUGCAGUAGGGAAUAUUGCUCAAUGGGGGAAACCCUGAAGCAGCAACGCCGCGUGGAGGAUGAAGGUUUUCGGAUUGUAAACUCCUUUUGUUAGAGAAGAUAAUGACGGUAUCUAACGAAUAAGCACCGGCUAACUCCGUGCCAGCAGCCGCGGUACUAAGGAGGGUGCAGGCGUUACUCGGAAUCAAUGGGCGUAAAGAGCGCGUAGGCGGGAUAGCAAGUCAGAUGUGAAAUCCUAGGGGUUAACCAUAGAACUGCAUGUGAAACUGUUAUUCUAGAGUAUGGGAGAGGUAGGUGGAAUGAGUGGUGUAGGGGUAAAAUCCGUAGAGAUCAAGAGGAAUACUGAUUGCGAAGGCGACCUGCUAGAACAUAACUGACGCUGAUGCGCGAAAGCGUGGGGAGCAAACAGGAUUAGAUACCCUGGUAGUC
rnacentral:rRNA from 1 species